UCUGUGCCACGUUGACAGGGUGACUCCGGUGGCCCCCUCAACUGCCAGGGCAAGGACGGCAGGUGGUACGUCCACGGGAUCGCCAGCUUCGUGUCCGCCAUGGGCUGCAACGCCUUGAGGAAGCCCACCGUCUUCACCCGGGUUUCUGCCUUCGACGGUUGGAUCCUGAAGAUACUCAGGGGCCAGUGAGGAGGAGAACAGGCCAGGCUUCUAGUUCCAGAAUAAAUUCACUUUGGAGAUG